rnacentral:ncRNA from 1 species
GCAGACGCCUGAAUCUUCGGGCCAUUCUGCAGUAAUGCAGAUUUGUAACUGGGUGAAUUCGGGGAAUGGUUUGUAAAUAAUAUCAAACAGAAUCCCGAGCCAAGCCCCUUGCAAAAGGGGAAGGUGUAGAGACUAUCCUUUAAGGAGUACUCUUUGAUUCACAUCAAAGCGGAAGCGCCCAGCCCCCGCGAUUGCUUAGGGCAAUUUUGCGGGGUGAUGAUAUAGUCCAAACAGG